rnacentral:rRNA from 1 species
ACAGUCACUGACAUUAGAUACCCCCGGUAGUCCCAGCCGUAAACGAUGUGCGUUAGGUGUAUCGACGACCACGAGUUGUCGAGGUGCCGAAGGGAAACCGUGAAACGUACCGCCUGGGAAGUACGGUCGCAAGGCUGAAACUUAAAGGAAUUGGCGGGGAGCACCACAACAGGUGGAGCCUGCGGUUUAAUUGGACUCAACGCCGGGAAUCUCACCGGAUAGGACAGCGGAAUGAUUGCCGGGCUGAAGACUCUGCAUGACUAGCUG